rnacentral:rRNA from 1 species
AGGACGAACGCUGGCGGCGUGCUUAACACAUGCAAGUCGAGCGGAAAGGCCCUUCGGGGUACUCGAGCGGCGAACGGGUGAGUAACACGUGAGUAACCUGCCCCUAGCUCUGGGAUAGCUCCGGGAAACCGGGAUUAAAUACCAGAUACGACCACUUUAGACAUCUGUCGUGGUGGAAAGGAUUCCGGCUAGGGAUGGGCUCGCGGCCUAUCAGCUUGUUGGUGGGUAACGGCCUACCAAGGCGACGACGGGUA